AGAGUUUGAUCCUGGCUCAGGACGAACGCUGGCGGCGUGCUAACACAUGCAAGUCGAACGGGGUAAAGAGCUUCGGCUUUUUACUUAGUGGCGAACGGGUGAGUAACGCGUGAGAAACCUGCCUUUCAGUGGGGGACAACAGUUGGAAACGACUGCUAAUACCGCAUAAUGUUAUUUGGGGGCAUCCCUGAAUAACCAAAGAUUUAUUGCUGAAAGAUGGUCUCGCGUCUGAUUAGCUAGUUGGUGAGGUAACGGCUCACCAAGGCGACGAUCAGUAGCCGGUCUGAGAGGAUGAACGGCCACAUUGGGACUGAGAUACGGCCCAGACUCCUACGGGAGGCAGCAGUGGGGAAUAUUGGGCAAUGGGGGAAACCCUGACCCAGCAACGCCGCGUGAAGGAAGAAGGCCAUCGGGUUGUAAACUCCUUUAGCAGGGACGAAUCUCGACGGUACCUGCAAAAAAACAACGGUUACUACGUGCCAGCAGCCGCGGU
rnacentral:rRNA from 1 species